UACGUAGGUGGCAAGCGUUGUCCGGAUUUACUGGGCGUAAAGAGCGCGCAGGCGGUCGUAUAAGUCGAAUGUGAAAGCCCCCGGCUCAACUGGGGAGGGUCAUUCGAUACUGUUCGACUCGAAGGCAGGAGAGGGAAGUGGAAUUCCGGGUGUAGUGGUGAAAUGCGUAGAUAUCCGGAGGAACACCAAUGGCGAAGGCAGCUCGCUGGGACGUGACUGACGCUGAGACGCGAAAGCGUGGGGAGCGAACAGG
rnacentral:rRNA from 1 species